UAAAGUUCAAUAAAAGAGUAUUCAAUGAAAGUCUUGGUAAAAGUUUUAGGACGUUACACAACGAAAAUUACAAGGAGGCUUAGGCUUGCGAUCUGUAAAUUUCCUGAGAGAAAACUCAAAAUUUAUUAUAAACUAAAAAAUGUGAAUUGAAUCAUCUUAGUAACAUUUUAAAAAUCAAACGAGAAUUUGCGAGUAUUGGUGAAUGAAAGCAAAAGAAGUUAAAGUAAUUGCUUUAUGAAAUUGUAAUAUUAUAAAAGGUAUUAAUCCUGUAGUAAAGUUUUAUUAUUAACAAAAGUAGCGCGAAUUUUAUUGCGUGAACACAAGGAGAACCACCUUCUAAAACUUACAAAACUUUUAACCGAUAGUGAAUGAGUAUUGUGAAAGAAAGACUAAAACAUCCGUUAGGAAUUAAUUAAUUGAAUAUUUUAUAUAGUUCGGAGUUUAAUAAAACCACGAGUUGCCUUUUGCAUAAUGAAUCAGCAAGUUAAUACAUAUUGCAAGUAUAAAUUUUAUUAAAUUAAGCGCAGAGUAAUGUGUAUUAGACCUGAAACCAAGUGAUCUAACCAUAAACAAGCUGAAAGUUUAUUAAAUUAAAUUGGAGGGCUGUACUCACAUAUGUAGCAAAAUAUGGAGAUGAUUUGUGGUUAGGGGUGAAAGAUCAAUCAAACUUGGAGAUAGCCGGUUUUCCACGAAAAGUAUUUUAGUACUACAUGAUUUAAAUAAAUUAAAGUUAGAGUAAAUUAAUUAAAGGAUGGGGUAUAAAAACUUACUGAAUUUAAUAUAACUCCGAAUUGAAAUUUAAUAAUUAAAUCAUAGCCAGUCUUUAAGCGAUAAGGUUUAAGAGACGAAAGGAAAACAAUCCAGCCCAUAUACUAAGAUCUUAAAAUUAUAACUUAGAGAAAAAAGAUUUUAAGAAAUUGCAAAUAAUUUAAGGUAUGCUUAGAAGCAGCUCCCCAUUAGAGAAAGCGUUUUAGCUCGUUAUCCUUUUCUUAAAAUUGAAAAUAAUGGAGACUAUAAGUUAUAUAUCGAUGUAAUGGAUUAAUACAUAUAACUGAAAUUAAUGGUAGUGGAACAUUCUGUAAUUUAAACUUAUUUGAAAAAAUAAAAAUAAAAUUCAGAAAAGCGAAUGCUGAUAUGAGUAGCGUAAAUCUUGUCUAAAUCAAGAUCAUUUUAUGUUGAAGGUUUUUAAUGAAAAUUCAGAAACAUUAAGUUAGUCGGCCCUUAAAAACUAGGCGAAAGCUAAAUUUGAUAGGAAUUUAUUUUAGUAAAACCAUUUAUAUGCAUUUAAAUGUGUGAAAAAAACUGAAAUUUUAUAAUUGAAAUAGUAAGGAAGUAUUAUUAAAAUCUUAAUUUUUCAAGAAAAAAUUAUAAUAUAAGACCGUACUUAAACCGACACUGGUAAACUGAUUAAAAAAAUUAAAAUGAACGGGCAAAUUAUAUUGAAGGAACUCGGCAAAUUAACUCUGUACGCUCGCAAUAAAGAGAACCUUAUAAUUUAUAAGGUGGCACAAAAUAAAAAGCAACGACUGGUUAACAAAACCACAGGACUCUGCAAAUUUAUAAAAAAGUAUAGAGUCUGAUGUCUGCCCGGUGCUUAAAAAAGAAAAAAAUGAGUUAAAGCUCAAAUUUGAAUUCUGAGUAAACGGCGGUUCUAACUAUAAGAAUCCUUAGGUAGCGAAAUUCCUUGACGGGUAAGUUCCGUCCUGCAUGAAUGGCUUAACGAUUGCUUUACUGUCUCCAAUAUAAACCCGGCGAAAUUACAAAACCUGUGAAAAUGCAGGUUCCUUGCAGUAAGACGGAAAGACCCUAGAUCCUUUACUCUAAUUUUGUAUUGUAAAAUUAUUUUUAUUGUGUAGCGUAAGUGGAGGUAAUUAACUAAAAUGAAACACCACUCUCUAACAAAUAAUUUACUUAUUAAAUUAUUAUUUAAAAUAGUGCAAAAAAGAGAGUUUACUUGGGAUGAGUACCUCCUAAAAUGUAACGGAGGUGUACAAUGGUAAAUUAAAUACAAUGGUAAUUUUGCUUGACAAUUAGAUUCAUAAAUCAAAUUGGGACGAAAGUCAGUCAUAGUGAUCCGGUAUUUAAGUGUGGAAUUAAUACCGCUCAACAGAUAAAAGGAACUCUAGGGAUAACAGAUUCAUCGUGACUAAAAGUUCGUAUUGACGUCACGGUUUGAUACCUCGAUGUCGACUCAUCUUAUCCUGAGAUCGAAAAAGAUUUCAAGGGUCUAGUUGUUCGCUAGUUAAAAAGGUACGUGAGUUGGGUUCAGAACGUCGUGAGACAGUUCGGUCCCUAUCUACUGUAAGUAGGAAAAAUAAAAAACUUACUUCUAGUACGAGAGGAUCGAAGUAAAUUAACCUCUAGUGAAUUUGAUUGUUAUACCUAUAGCAAUGUCUAAUAGCCAAGUUAAUUAAAUAUAAGUACUGAAAGAAUCAAUUAGUACGAAAAUUGUUUUUAAAUUUUUCAAGAAUCAUCUAAACGAAAAUUAGAUUGAUCGAUUAUAAAAUGUAAGUUUAGUAAUAAAUUUAAUUUAUAAAUACGAAUUUAUUCAAAACUUUAAACUU
rnacentral:rRNA from 2 species